CCACGUGGGACACCCCCCCCCCCCCAAAAUUGUCUGAACAUACUCUUCAUUGCAGUUAUUUGGCUCGAGCUGCAGCUGCUGAAUAGUUUUUGAGCUCCAGGUCCUGUUUUAUAAAUGCAAGAUGGUCAUCUCAAGUCUACCUUCUCGAAUGCUGAACACGCACCGGGCACCUAUCUGGACCCUGGUUUCAGUGUCCUUGGAAGACCUUGUUGAUGCUGUAAAGUGAGCUUUGAUGGACAUGGCUUUAAGCAGAGAUGUUCUUUACCUGAAGAUCUGAGGAAGUCUUGAGAUGGGUUUAUCAUCCCACUGAAAUGAAAAUGGCUUCACAUUGAGGUCUUGGCUGAUGAGGUCUCUCUUGAAUGGCAUGGACUGUUUUCAGGAACAAGAUCCCCUGAUGGUCUGCAGAGGAUUUGUGCCAGGUUUGGCCUGACUGAAGCUUUAAACAGAUGUUGGAUGCCCUUGGGGAAAAGACUUGAUCAGGACUAAAACCUGUACAUGAAGAUAUUGAAGCUGUAAUGCAAAAGGUCUUCUCUACUUGUAUUGUAGAACUAUAUUAUUUUGGUGCUGGAGCCUGUGGAAAUGAAAAUGACUGUAAAUCAGAGACUUGAAGUGCUUGGGUGCAUACUGCUGUAUGGUCUGGAGUUUCACCCAUGAUUUUUAAAAUAAAAACUUUUUGCUUUAA